ACUCCCCGUGUAGUUAGCUUCCAGGCAACGCAAACAUCUUCCUCCCCGCUCCCCCACCAAUCUCUCAGAUUGGGAAAGAACUUCAAGGGAAAAAGGACAGCUGAGUUUUUACUAACCAAGGGCAUGCCAAUGUCACUGCCAGAGUACAAAGGACCUGGAGGAGGGAGCUACUGGUCUCUCAGAGGUCACUGAGCUGUUCUCUGCACAAGCUGUUCUCUGGGAAGAAGGAGAGAGGAGCUGCUGAAGGGAGGCUUGCAUGCGGCUCCUGCUUCAUAUCCACCAGGCUGCCUUCCUGGAAGAGAAUUGCCGGGUUCACAGCACCUGCUCCCUUGCAACCUAGGGCUGCAUCUGCAGAGAUGGGACACAGGGACAACAUGCCUGUCCAUAGCUGGUGCUGCAAGGAUCUCCCCUCUCUCUAUUCCUGCCCACACAGGAUUAUGUAUGAGGCAGAGAUGGGUUCUCAGUGCUGCUGUGAGAUUUGAGCACCUGCUGGGUACAGAACUGAUAGUGGGCGAUGGCUGGUGGCAGACAAGGGACCUGGGGACACAGAAUGUGUCUGUGUUAAUUUGGGAGAGCCUUCUGGUCUUGCUUUCAUUAGCCUGGGCAGUCCAGAAGAGAAAGAAACACAUUUUAAAGGAAAAACAGAUUUAGCGAACAUUUACAGUAAAAACUGUCUGGAAAACGAA
rnacentral:lncRNA from 1 species